rnacentral:rRNA from 1 species
UACGUGGGGGGCAAGCGUUGUUCGGAAUUACUGGGCGUAAAGGGCUCGUAGGUGGCCAACUAAGUCAGACGUGAAAUCCCUCGGCUUAACCGGGGAACUGCGUCUGAUACUGGAUGGCUUGAGUUUGGGAGAGGGAUGCGGAAUUCCAGGUGUAGCGGUGAAAUGCGUAGAUAUCGGAAGGAACAUCAGUGGCGAAGGCGACUUCCUGGACCAAUACUGACGCUCAGGUGCGAAAGCGUGGGGAGCAAACAGG